UAUACGGCUUGCUGAUUGGUGGCUCCCCGUCCUUUCCUGUCAGCUGAUUGGCGGGCGGUGCCGAGGCCGCGCGGGAGGCGGGAAGGUCGGACGCUGACGGAGCAGUCGCCUCAGUUAUAAGCCAGAAAUAAACAGGGAAAAGCAGCAAUGUCUUCUGAUGUGUCUCAAUAUACAAUUGGGGGAGUGAAGAUUAUGUUCCCUUGCAAGGCUUAUCCGUCGCAGCUUGCUAUGAUGAAUGCUAUUGUUAAGGGCUUAAAUAACAAGCAGCACUGUUUGUUGGAGAGCCCCACAGGAAGUGGCAAAAGCUUGGCAUUGCUUUGUUCUGCAUUAUCAUGGCAGCAGUCUCUGUAUGAGAAAUCACUGCUCAAAUCAUCAUGUGAAAAGGAGGACAGGGAGCCAGCAGCCUCAGCGCCGUGUCGCUGUGUGUGUCAUUCCCGAUCCGAGAGCAGCGAGGCGGCUGCAGGGGCGAGUCGUGGUGCUGCAUGUUCUAAUUAUGAAACAGGAGGCUCUGUAAAAACUGGAGGCCAACAAACAGACACAGAAUGCAAGGACAACAAUACCCUGGCUUCAAAACUGUCUGCCAAAAAAAGGGCAUCGGUCGGUGGAACUGAGAGUGAUGAUUUUCAAGUAGACAGGAAGAGGAUUCGACCUUUAGAAACAGAGCAGCAGGUUAGAAAACGUCACUGCUUUUCAAAAGAGGUGCAGCUGGUUGAUGCUUUAGAAGUUUAUAAUCAGAGAAAAAACGGGGAGCUGAUUGUUCACUGUGAAAAAAGUGUGAGAAACACGUCUCCCCAAACGCUUUUCAGCCCUUGCACGGAGUGUUCCUGUUCCUCUGGAAAAGAAACUCGUAAAGAUGCUGGUAACACAAAGAAGAAAGCAAAUGGAGAUCAAACAUUCAUUCCCAAAAUAUUUUUUGGAACACGAACACACAAACAAAUUGCUCAGAUUACCAGGGAGCUGAAGAGGACAGCGUAUUCUGGUGUCUCUAUGACAAUUCUCUCUAGCCGGGAUUAUACCUGUAUUCAUCCAGUGGUGUCCAAUAGUAGUGGUAACAGGAAUGAACUGUGUGUAGAAUUACUGGAAGGAAAGAAUGGCAAGUCCUGCCUUUACUAUCAUGGUGUUCAUAAACUCAGUGAACACUUUGCCCUGCAUUCUGCACAUAACACGUACCAGGCUUGGGACAUUGAGGAUCUAGUGAGCCUGGGAAAGAAGCUUCGUGCCUGUCCAUACUUUGCAGCCAGAGAACUCAUGGUGGGGGCCGACAUUGUGUUUUGUCCUUAUAAUUAUCUCCUAGACCCACAGAUACGGGAGAGUAUGGAAAUUAACUUGAAAGGCCAGGUAGUCAUUCUGGAUGAAGCCCAUAAUAUUGAGGAUAGUGCUCGGGAGGCGGUGAGCUACAGUGUUACAGAAAGUCAAGUGAAUGCUGCUCGAGAAGAGCUAGAUUUCAUGGUCAAUAACAACAUCAGGCAAAAGGAUCAUGAGCAGCUACGGGCUGUGUGCUACUCUUUGACAAACUGGCUACGGGAAAGCUCUAGUCAGCUGGUAGAAACAGGGUAUGAAACCUCCUGCAAGGUCUGGAGUGGAAAAGAAAUGCUCAACCAUUUUCAUGAAAUGGGAAUAACCAAUAUUAGUUUUCCUAUUUUACAGAAACACCUUUCUGCUGUCUUGGAAAAAGAAGAAAAAAUAUCCAUGUUUGGUAAAGAGGAACUUGUCGAGAUACCUAUAGUGAGCUCUGCCACUCAGAUUGUGCUGAAAGGGUUAUUCAUGGUUCUUUUCUAUCUUUUUAAAGAUAACAGCAGGUUUGCAGAUGAUUACAGAGUUGCUUUGCAACAAACUUACGCUUGGACAAAUGAAAACCAACCUGACGUUUCAGAUAGCAGUGCUUUCUUUACAAAGACCAAACACAAAAGGAAUUUGCGACAUAAAACUGUAGUCCACAUGCUUAAUUUUUGGUGCUUGAAUCCUGCUGUGGCAUUUUCAGACCUAAAUGAUGUCAGAACAAUUGUUCUGACAUCUGGGACACUCUCUCCAAUGGAUUCAUUUUCUUCUGAACUUGGUGUGAAGUUUUCUAUUCAGCUGGAGGCAAAUCAUGUUAUCCGGAACUCACAGGUUUGGGUUGGCACCAUUGGAGCAGGCCCGAAUGGUCGGAAGCUGUGUGCCACGUUCCAGCAUACAGAGACCUUUGAGUUCCAAGAUGAGGUGGGAGCACUUCUGCUUUCAGUGUGUCAAAAAGUUGGCCAAGGAAUUUUGUGUUUCUUGCCAUCCUACAAGCUGUUGGACAAAUUGAAAGAUCGCUGGAUACACACUGGCUUGUGGAGAAACCUGGAGCUUGUCAAGACAGUCAUUGCAGAGCCUCAAGGAGGAGCAAAAAGCGAUUUCGAUGAACUGCUGAAAAUAUACUACGAUGCAAUAAAAUUUAAAGGAGAAAAAGAUGGAGCACUCCUAAUAGCUGUGUGCAGAGGAAAAGUUAGUGAAGGCUUGGAUUUCUGUGAUGAGAAUGCCCGAGCAGUUAUAACCAUAGGUAUUCCGUUUCCAAAUGUGAAAGACCUUCAGGUCGAAUUAAAGAGGAAAUACAAUGAUCAGCACAAAACUACAAGAGGCCUUUUACCAGGGAGCCAGUGGUACGAAAUCCAAGCUUACAGGGCUCUGAACCAGGCCCUGGGAAGGUGUAUAAGGCAUAGGAGUGAUUGGGGUGCCCUUAUCUUAGUUGAUGACCGCUUCCGGAAUAACCCUAACAAGUACAUAACUGGAUUAUCUAAAUGGAUUCGUCAACAAGUCCAGCAUCAUGAAAAUUUUGGUAGUGCCCUUGAAUCCUUACACGCAUUUGCUGAAAGAAACCAGAAAGGCAUUGAUUGUUCGUCACAGUGUAGCAAUGAAUUUUUCCAUGUACCUUUAAAUGUGAAAGAGCUGUCAUCGGCUUCUCAACAGGAGGCAACUAUUCACCUGUCACCAGAUGUUCCUGUUAAAAGUGAGGAGCAAAGUUUGGUCCAAGAAACUCAUUUAACUGCAACCAUCGACUCAAUUAAUCCUGAACCAUCAAAUCAGCCACGUAAUAUCACAGCAAUAAUACAACAAAGUGGCCAGAAAGUUGAUGUAGAGAGUCAUUCUCACAACGCAACACAAAGGAGAAAACAUAUGGACUCCACACCCAGAAGGCCUGCAACUAAAACAGAGAAAAAGAGUGAUUGGACUAAUUCUGAUUUUAUGAAAGGGCGCUGCUGCUUUAAACCACUGACUUCAACACCUUCGCCUGUAGCCAUGAACUGUGUGUCCACAGCAAGCAGCGAACAAAGGGAGAAUGUGAACAGAGCUAGUGAACUUAUUGGUGGUGUAAAUCAAUGCCAGUCAUCAUUCACUUUAGAACAUAAACCAAAUAUACGAGAAUCACAUUUGGAAACAACUAAUUUUUCAGUCAAAAAUACAGAGGCUCCUGAGGAGCAUCUUGAUGAGCAAAAACUUCAAAUCGAACCCUGUAGUGGGCUUCCUUCAGUAGGAGGGAAACCUGAAUUGUCAGUGUUAGAAAUGUCGGCAGAAGCUGAGGAUGAAGAUGAGAGUAUUUACUUCACACCAGAGCUUUACGAUGGUGAAGAAUCAGAGGAAGGGAAAAUAAAAGCCCCAGAUCCAGAUGAGAAUCAGAUUGAAUGUGGAAAACCCACAGUAGCUGAUGAUCUUUUUGUAAUCAAUACCUCGAAAACACUAAAUGAACCAAAAGAAAUUAUUAAUGAUGAUGGCAGAAACAGAAGUUUACAUGGAACGAUGCCGAGUGAUAUCAGUAAGAACAGUGCAGUUAAUAUUGAAAAGAUGACUAAUGGAAAAGAAGCAGAUCAGGUAGAAUCUCAAGAGGUGGACACCAAGAAACGGAAAAUCAGUCUUUCUAGAUCACGACAUAAAGGAUUGAAAGUUCAGAGACAGUACAGAAGAGGAAAAGCUACUGUUAGGGCAAGAGGAAACACCUGUGAAAGAAAGAAGGAAAACAAACGACCUUGCAAGAGAGGACUUUAUUGUAUUAUCUGCGGGGCAGAAAUACUACCAAAAGCAGAAGGCAUUUUGAGAAAAACUUGUCAUGGUGAUAUUGAGCUGAAAAUAAUCUUGAAACUCUUCAAAAAUACUCAUGUAAGAAGUAAGGAAUCCACUAAUAAAUGUACAUGUAAACUAGAUGUCACUUCAGAUGAUGAUAACGUGAUGUUGGUCAUCUCAGAUGUUGCGAGUCUCAGUCAUCUUAAGGAAACUUUGAAGAUUUAUCAGACGCCAGUGAAAAACAAAGGCACAAAUGCCAGUUUAUCUUUAAAUGCUGUUUGGAAUGAGAAGGAGUAUUCUCUGACAAGUUACUUACAGUGCAGGAACUGCCUUUUCCAGUCAGUGUCUCCAUGCCCUUUGAUAGGAGCUGAGGUUACUCAUUUCAGCAGUGAAGUACAGUCAUGGGUCUGGCUGCUCCCAUCGUCUGUUCAUUAUUGCUUACUGCUACAGAGCCCUCAGAAACGGAAAACAGGCAACUCAGAUUAUACUUUAUCUUAAAAGAUUUUGCUGAUCUCUACCACAAAUUCAUCAGGACUAAUGAGACAGAUAAGUAAAGGAUUUUGUUAUUACAUGCUAACUCCAUAAAGAUACUCUGGGGUAAGCGGAGAGGUGGUACAAUCUUUGUGUGUGAGUGAUGGGAAGGAGCUACCUGGUUACAAAUUCUGGCCCCACUGAAGUCAGCAGGGGUUUUGCCAUUUGCCUUCAACAAAGCAAAGGGUUUCACCAUGUGUUUAACAGGAGUAUUUUGCUGGAACUGUUGUCAGCAUAGUAGUAAACAUACACUUCAAAAUUUCCCUUCUUUUUCACAUUUAAAUGUUUGUUCACCUUUCUUAUGCUUGGUGGUAAUUUGAUACAAAAAAAAUCUCUUCAACUUCAUUUUAUUCCAGGUAGGUUUUGAAUUGGUUCAUUUUUUACUUCUUGUGUAUUUAGAGACCCCACGUGGCAAUGUCUGGCCUAUGAACACAGUAGGGGAAUGUUCACAUAUUUUGUAUUGCUGGGAUUUAAAUUGAAUUAAAUAAAAACAGAAAUGAAAACAUUUGCAUUUGUUUAUGUAAUUAAAAAAAAAAAUCACAUAAAGCUGGGCCUGAGCUAGCCGAGAAUAUCCCUGUAAUGAACACAAGGCUUCACCUUUUUGCAAGCACACAGUAACUGGAGAGGCGCACAUAUCAUAUCUACCAUAUCAAUGACAUUUUAGAGUAUGUUAAAAAAAAAUACUCUAUUUGUCUUAGGAAAUAUCGAAAACUUUUAUAGGGAAUUUGGAAAAUAUUUUUUGGCCAGCAUGAAAGGUGAAAUCCUGCAGCACAAAGUACAGACAUGGGCACAGAGACUGAACAGACGGGCUGCUGUAAAACAACCAUUUAAUAAGGCAUUAAAAUGCCAUCGACUUGGACACAUAAAAAAAAAGCUAUGAAAACAAAUGCCUUUCAAAUAAUUAGGAUCUUAUGCUAGAGACCAGUGUUGAUCUCUAUGCAGAGAUUUUCCUGCUGAAAUCAGACCAGCCUAAGUCUGAUCGUCUAAGGAAGGAAUUAGCAGCGUAUAAAUCGGCUGCUGCUCGAGAUUUUUCUGUUUCUGCCAUACAUAACCAUUCAUUUAAAUGGCCACUUCAGACUUUCUAUCUCCUUCUUUCUGUUUCCUAGAGUAGUUUGAAACACAUUUGACUUAGUAUGCCAGAAUAAUUUUUUAAUUGAAUCUCGAAUUUUUAUCAUGAGUAUGUGAAAGGGUUGAAUUACCAGCUCCUGCCCACACUGUGUAAGUGAAUCUGAGCCAAAUGCAGCCAGAAAUAGCAACAGAACCCAGUUCUGUUCUCCAAAACAUGGUGUGACUUUGCUUUCACUUGAAGUAGUAUGCCUGUGUAAGGAAUAGCACUAGUCAGUAGUGAUAGCUGGUGUGUAUAAUGCAUCAAAAUUAUAUAAAUCUGUCCUUCAAGAACAGUUUUAUCACCUAUAAUGUAUACAAAUACAAAAACAAGAAGUAGAGCUGACCGUUUGUUUCUGUAUUAACUUCUGGAUCUCUGCUGUCAUGGUAGUCCUGAUCUGGAUACCUCAAAAAAGAUGCUCUGGUUACAAAGAGCAUCUUCCAAACAACAGCACCUGUAAUAAUGUUAAUGUUUUAAAAAAAUAUUAAUAAAAAUAAAAGCGAUGUUGUCUGAGAGAUGAGCAUCAAAUUCUCAACUUUAAGCUGGAAUUUAAUAGAUUUCACAGAAGAAAUGUUUAAUGAAUAUUGCUUUUCACAUACAAUAUUGUUUUGAUCUCCAUUUAACUAUGCACUGACAUCGAUAAUCUUGAGUAAAUGAACGUAUGGUCCUUCUGUAUUCUGCUUUGUUUCCUGUUGUGUCGUUAGCCAGCAGUUAACCCCUGAGGCACACGUUUUUAAACUUCUAAUCUUUCUUUCAGAUCUGUUAUUUCAAGUACUCUUAAAUUUUGUGUUUUUAACACAGAAUUUGACACAGAUGAAAACCCCAUGUGUAACUCCCAUAGCUAGGCAGAAUAGGAGAUCUUUCUCUUGAUAUUAUGAUUUCUUCUAUUAAUCAGUUUUAUAUGACUUUCUGCUAGCCCAGAUUUUAAAGGUGUGAAAGCUUGCGCCACAGAGGUAUUUUAUAGAUUGCAAUCAUAAUUUCUGAAUAAGAUUCUAAAUAACUGGUCUGGUUAUAAAGCUUUGGGCGCAAUUUUUAGGUUCCUGGGAACUGCUGUUAAACCUCUGUUGCCAUUUGGCUAGAAGUACAUCCCAAUUAGUGACCCUUCUAUCUCGCAGUAGCUGUAUGUGAGUGAAUUUAUUUUUUUUUUUAAGUCAGUCGUAAAUGAUUAGUCCAAAAGAGUAGCAUAAAACUUCGAGCUAGUCCCCUGCAGGAGUCGGCUGGAGGAAAUUAAAGGAUCAACAACACAAGGGAAGCACUGAGGUAGGAUUGUUCCAGGCUGCAGCCACAGGCUUUCACAUGCACUCAGGAAAUUGACUUCAUCAAAAGCUGAGGAUGCAGGCGUGAGGAUGAGGAGGAUAACACAGGUGAUGAUUCUAAAUCAUGGCUCAAUAUCACAGCGUUUUCCAAGGGAGGGACUCUGUCCCCGCCCUGAAGAAAGCAGGUUUUCUAUAUAAAAAUAGUCUUCUCCUUAUGAAUUAAUAAAAGUUUGGCACAAAUCUGAGCUAUAAAUCUAAUAUAACUCAAUAAAUAAUGAAGACUCGGUUUCCCAAAAACAAUAUCAGUUGGACGUGGGUGUUUUUUUUGCACAAGAAAAACAUGACUCCUUAUAAGCUCCACUGCUCAGUUCAGAGCAUUAUUGCCCUGUGCACGUAUUUGUGUUUGUGAGAGCUGUAAAACAAAGAACUCCAGAGUGCUUGGGACUUAGAGGCAGACAAGGAGUUUUCUUUAAUGCUUCUAAGUAAAUUCUUGCUGCAGAAAUUCGGAUAUUCUGGGUCUGUGAUGAAGCUGAAACCUUUCUAGUGGAGUUGGAAAGAGUCGCGAGAGGGGAAAUGCAUAAAUCUACAUCUGGAGCCAAGUAUGCUGGGAAGGCGUAAAGAGAUGGGGGAGCAGGAGUGCCAGAACAGGGCUGAGAGCAUGAAAUUCAGCGGGGAAAAGUAGGAGAAAGAAAGAGGAAUGUCCCAGGAAUUAAGCUCUUAUAACGUUCAAAUCUUUCCUCGGAAGUAAAACUGUGGAAGGCUAUAAUCCAAAUAAGGAAAUUAGAACAAAAAUUAACAAUAUUCAGCUAUUCAGAUGUCAAAAGAAACAGCAGAGUUAUUGGUGUUAGAGGUUAUUGCCAGGAGGGAAAAACUCAGCAUGCUUUGGGUAAUUAAGCUUCAUUGGAGAGCAUGGAUCCCUUCUCCAGGUAAGAAAUGCUUUUAUAACAUGGCAUCUUUUGCUAUUGUAAUUAAACACCAUGGACUAUUCUGAAUAUGAAGUCUUAAACACUUUAGUCCUUUAUCAUGGGAUUUUACUGGCCAGGCAUGUGUGUUCUUAUGGCAAAAAGCAUUGACUGCUAUAAAAAAAAGAAACCCAAACAUUUCUUUUUAUGACUUGACUUGCUGUAUUUUUAUAUAUAUUGAGCCAAAUCCAUCCCUUGUGGAGCUCAGUUGUAGCCAAUAAGGAUAGAUUUGGCCCAUGUCUAUAUGAGAAAGGUGGUGACAAUUAAAAUAUAUUGUUUAAUAAUGAGAGCUAUGGUAGUGAAGUGUCUUUGUGUCUAUGAAAUUAUACACCACGACACCACGCUGCCAGUAGAGAGUGGGGCUAGCAAAACACAUAAGAGCAGUUUCUGAUGGAAAGGCAAAAGCACUCUAACUUUUAUUAUUAUGAUUAAAUAUCACAAAGGCAAGACUAAUUUAGGUAACAUCUCCAGAAGUCUCAUUUAUAGUGUAGUAUUUUGCCACGGUGCAUUUUAAAAUAUUUCUUGAAUGUCAUUAUAUGUGGCUAUCAAGGGUAGUAUGACUGGCUGCCAUUAGCAGUAAGUAAAAGAACGGUUCUUAUUUCAUUUAUAUUUUAGUGAUUUUCAGUAAUACUGCAAAAAGGAAUGCAUCCUAUUAAAUGAAAUGUGCGGACAGCCAUUAUUAUCACUUUAUAAUGGUAGUUCCCAGCAGUUCCUCUGUGUGUGCAUUGCACCAACACAUGAAAACCAUUGCUGAUACCCUGAAGAUCUUCAGAUCUUGCCUACUUAGGCAGUGAGAUAUACAAAGCUUAUUGCACAGACAACCAGGUCGUCUGUACAAAACCUGAACAAAUGAGUUUUGUUUGGCUCCUUGACAUGGUGGGUUGCAGGAAGCAACUCUUCCCUUGUAUCCCUGUUGGUAAGUUAUAACAACUUUUAUAUGUCAGAGCCUUACUGAACUGUCUGCUGACUUGUAUCCCUUUACUGAAGAUAUUUUGGUAAUGGAUACUCACAGCCAGUAACCACAGCCUUAAACCCAAGCUCUUCAAUAGGGUUGCCAGAAAGCCAGGCUCAGGCAUGCUGCUCUGUAAAGAGCUGAGCACUUAGAGAACUCUGGUCAGUAGCAAUGGAGCUCAGGAGCAAUGGCUGAAGGCAAUACAUUGCCCUGCUGAGCUAAUGGGCUCCGGCUGAAAAGGUACCUCUUAAAUGAGAAUAAUAAUUUGGGAAGUCUCUGGCCCUCAAAAACAGAGGAAAAGAAAAUGCGCAACAGAAAUUCUUCUCACUGUAAUUAUUACUCAUUCUGAAUCUCUAUUAUAGAAAUCUGGCCUUUGGCAUUGGAUUAAGACAAUGUUUUAUUAGAAGAAAGCAUGAUUCAUCGAAUUGAUGCACUGCAGUAUCUGUGGAAAGGAAAACUGGGAAAGACACAAAAGAAGCUGGGCUAUGGAAAACCAUUGCCAGAGAAUCUCAAUCUGCACUAAAAAACAACAAAAAAGAAGAAAGUAUUUCCAAAGAAACAUCUGAGCAUAGCACUGGAGCCAAGUGAAGAAUUAGUACUACAUUAGGCUUUCAGAAUGGGGCAUGCAGUGUAUGUGGUACAAUACCCUGUCAUUUUGAAAUUAAAGAAAAGUGCAUGUGUUCCACAUCAAAACUCAGAUUCUCAGAAGAUUUGUUUGCAUGCUGCCAGUUGCUUUUGCUCUUUGUCAAGAAGAGUAUUUUUAUUUUCAAGUUACCAUUUUCUCUCUCUCUCUCUCCUCCUUUUUGUUUUCAAGUUCACCAUUUCCUUGUGUUUAGUUCCUUGCUGUUGACUUACCACUUCCAUCCCUUUGCUGUCUGUAGCAUGAAUAUUGAUUUUCAGGCAAUCUAAUUCACUGCUUUGCAAAGGUGAGUAAAGAUUAUUUUCACAUUGUGCAUGACAGAUACAAAGCAAAAAUUAAGUAGUUUAUUAAUGGCUGUAGGCUGAAUCAUUGCUGAGCAUAUUCAGACUGGAAAUCUCAAACUUCACUGGAGUCCUUAGACAACCAUUUGAAGCUGUUUUUGAAAUCUUUUGAGUUAAUUGCACAGCUUGCAAGACCAGCUUUUCCUUGUGUACUAUGCUGGGAACAGGAAACACGGCAUGCUCCACAAGUUCCUCCGUUGGUGCCAUCCUGUGGCCAACCCUGCUUCUCCCUACCUGUGUCACACAGGGGCAAAUGCUCAGAGGAUCCACAGAGACACUCACUUGCCACUCUCUAAAUGUGCAGUAUUUGUUGAAGGCUGAGAUUUGCCUUUUUGCUUUUCCAUGCACAUCCGUACAGUUUGCUUGCAUUAACACCUCCCAGUCUUGAAGUGCUUAGGCAACAUUUAUACAGAGUUAAACCCCCGCUCUCUUUGCAUGUUCCAUAUGAAGAAAUGUAGAAAUACUAAGGGGCAUCCAUACAGAACUUUGUGUGACAGGCAUGUGCUCACUUCUAGCAGUAAGUGUAAAUGCAGUCUUUCUCUGUGACGCUGGACAGAAAUCCCAGUGGAAGUUUUUCCUGCCUCCAACCUGUCUACUUUCUUUCAUAAUGAUAAAUGAUGGGAAAGCUUGAGGGAGGAGGGAAACUAUCUAAGCUUUGAACUGAUUGUGCCUGUAGAAGGAUGGGAAAGGAGAAUGUUGAUUCGUUUAAAACAGAACUUUCAUAUGGCUAAUACCUUAGAUAUUUUUCUCAUUUUGAUCUUUUUUUUUUGCAUUCUGAUAAGUAAGUUUAAGGCUAAAUCAUUACCCAGAGAUGUCUCAUCAGGUAAGACAAUGUGGCUACUUUUAUUUUCCACUUUAAAUUUAAUUGAUUACCUUUCCCAUCUCCAUUUUAUCCUGCACAUAGUUGCUUGGUAGCAGUCACCUUUGCUUUCAGUCAAGGUAUCCAUUGCGUGCUGACUGUUUCCCAUUACCUCUGAAGCACAAAGCAAGUUCAUCACCUUUCCAGAAUGUCUUGUGAUUGAUUCCUCAUGUCUGGGGAAAUAUGCUCUAAAGUUUCAGGCUAAAAUGAGCGCUUGGAUUUAGUGUGGAUAAUCAGUGGUUUAAGACUUAUUCUUCUUAUGAACUAUUCAUCUAUUUAUUAGAUACACAACUAAUAUUAAAUAUAAUAUAAUGUGUUAAAUUUAAAAUGUUAUUAUUCCCUCAGUAGCUGCUCAGAUGCACUGGGCAUGACUAAAUCAUAAUUUGCAGAGUGUGUCUGCGUCAUCCAUCAAACACAACUACUCUCUGCCUCAGACCUAACCUGUGCACAGCAAAGCCAAGGCUGAAAGCCUUGAAAAGAAGAUCAGAGGCCUGGUCUUGCCAUGCUGAAAUCUAUAAAAGUUUUCCUACUGACUUCAACAGAAACAGGACUAAGCCUUAUGAUUCUGGCAGGAAAAUCUGAGAAUAUUCCUUUACAACUCUCUACUGAAUUCAAAACUCCCGAAUACGUUGUUGUCAACCUUACGUAAGAUAGAGACUGUCAAGGAAAGAUAGUAGUUUUGCACAUACUGUUCUCUGCACAUAUUGUUCUUUAGUAAAUAUUUAUCAAAGGAUGCAUCCAUUCCUGCUGGCAGCGUCCGAGGCAUUGGACAAAUUUGGCCUGAUUUCCUGCUGUCAGUGCAAACCUCCCAACUAGAAGCUGCAUUUAUCAAGUUUUGUCUUUCAAAACUGUUAAAAUCAUUCUUAUCCAAGUAGAUAGUGCUGACAAAAAAUGGUCAUUUGAUGAAAUACUCUUUAAAAAAAGACGCGUUCUCCAGCUUGUAAGUACAACCCCACUGAAAAUAUUCAUCAAAACUGUAACAAAGCACGGCUAAAGGCCAAAGAUUUGUAUUUGCUGAAAACCAAGGAAAACGGCAACAAAAAGAAAACCAGAUGAAAGCUUGUUGGCACUUGCAGGAUACUUGUUUUUGCCUCUUACCCUCUACUAUUUGUGGAACUAAAGCCUUUUGACCUGUUCUAGCUAUUCCUCCCAUUUUCAUUUCAGUGUGUUUUAUUUUUCCUUUGCUUGAACAAGUUUAUAAUUAACAGAAAUCAAAAUAUUUUCAUUGAGCUAGUGUUAUCAGCACUUUGCACCAAUUUAUAUGCCCUUUUAUUUCCUCUUUUAAGCUCUUUUUAGGUCAGACUCCGGCUUGGGGCUGCGCUUUGGUGCACUCUGUGCAAAGGAUAUGGCGGCUAAGCAGAAAAGGCUCAGAUCCCAAAGCCUCAGGGCUUACUACCACCAGAUGCCUGAGCUGAGAGAUCUCUUUUGGAGUGCAGUUCUUCUGGAAGAAAACCUAAGGAGCUGCAGCUGCGUCUUCUCUACCCAUGCCUGGUUGUCCAGGUGGGAGCGUGACCUCCAUGGCGGUGGCCUCAGGACUUCCUCACUGCGAGCAGCCACCCUCGUUCAUCAGCCUCUCUUCGUUGGAAUGGAUUCAUCCAAAUGCAGAAGUGCCUCCCGACUUCCAAGUGUGUAUUUCAGCCUUUUGCCUUUUGCCCAGCUGGGAAGCAGGGGGUGGGAAGAACAAACCCAACCCCCCUAUUCACGACUAAAGCUUCAGUACUGUGCUCUUUAGUGGAAAAAGCUCCCAGCACCACCGCUGCACACCUCAGCAGCGCAGAGAAGGACGCAGACCCUGCUGCAGGGCUUUUCAGGUGAAAUCAGAGGGAGUUUUGUUCCAUAAGGAGCACAGCUUCCUCCCGCGUGAGUCAGCUCAGCGAUUCUCAGUGCCUCCUGGGGGCACCCUGCAGGCAAAGUUAGCACGGACGGAGUCAGCUCAAGAUACUUCCACGGUAAGCAAUGGUAACAACCUAUACAUUGGUCACAGAUUUUUACCUGCUCUACAAAUAGUUGUACACUGUAAAGCCUGACAGGCAACGGGAACUCCUCCUGCUCCCACCCCACAAUUAAAGACUGCUUCUCUAUGCCUCCUUUAUGCUGAAAACAAUUCUUCCCAAGUUAGCUGCAAAAGAAAAAAAAAAAACAAAAAAACACAUAGCACAAAAGGCGCGUUUCAGUUGAAUGCGAAAGAAAUGAAGGACCAGCAAAUACAGAAACCCUUCUUUCUGGAAAGUAUUAGCGACUUUUAAGCUUAAACUUCAUAAAUAUAUUGCAAUAAGCAAGUGUGAUUUGAUCAACAGAGUCUGAAGACGCUGGGUCUGUUCCUAAUGCUGCAAUUAAUUUGCUGUUUGGCCCAGGGCGUAACGCUUCACUUCUUGGUCUCCCACAGCCACGAUCAAUGGGUAAGAAGGGACAUUUGCACACUGGUGCUUCUCCUCUCUGCACCGCGCCGGGAGAGUCUGGAGUGGCACCUCACCACUGGCAUCAGAGGAAAGGGAAUUUCUGCAGGUGGACAGAGCCUAACACGUGCUGCUACAGCAGUCCUGGAGCUACACAGCCCAACAGAUCACUUCUUCCUUUGGUUUGGGGGAUUCUGUGACUUCGCAGACUGAGUACCAUACAGGUGAAGCUCGUGUUUUUCCCAAAAAGCCAAAAUCUGCUCUUGGAUGUUUACUGUUAUGGGCAAAAGCGAAUGACAGACAACUUCACUCGUUAGUCUAGAAGAUGGUUUCUACCAGAUCCAUAAUGAAGAUGUGAGUAUUAAUUCAUUCGGAAGUCAGUCAGUCAGAGGCUGAUGGAUCCAGGAGCUGGAAUUCUCAGUGUGCCCAGAGAUGGGCGCUCCCUGCACACACGUGCCCCUGGGAAAUGCAUGCUCGUCUCACCCAAGUGCAAGUUACCCACAGGUAUAACGCUGCCUUAGCACCGUCCUGGAGCGGUAACGCAAGCUGCGAGCACCGUCCUGGAGCGGUAACGCAAGCUGCGGCACCGCUGGGCCCGCGGAGUCACCCAUCCGUCCAGUUCUCCACCGUCCCCAUUCCUGAAUGGUACUGCAGCGAGGACUCCCGCGACAAGGAGAAGCUUUGGGAGUAGAGGAAUUCAUUGGCGGCAUUGAGGUGUGGGGAAGGUGGCUUCCUCUCACACACGGAUGGGUGAACCCUUUCCCUUGGGAAAGAUGAUGGGGGGACACGCUCCCGAACCUGAGACUGGGCCAGCUGGUUGUAGACGCUGAAGUGGCUGUUCCCCGGGGGCUGCGAGCCCUGCCCCGCGAUGGAUGGGAGCCGUGGCAUCAUGGUGGUGGCUGUGAAAUGGGCUGGGAAGGGCUGGUAGGGCACAGUUUCCAUUGUCUGAACACUGUAGCUGGUGUAAGGUGCGACAGAAGUCCACAUAUUGCAGCUCAGCGGGGGAGGUGGAGGCGGCAAGUCGUCCACUGCCGGCACGCCUGCGAUCUCAGCCCCUGACCCAGAGUACAUGCAGGCUUCCCGCGGGGCCACCUCGCUGCAGUAGGACGGGCUCAACAUCUGCUGCUCGUAGGGCGGUGGGGAGCGGAAGUAGUGAUCGUCGCCCACUGACGAUGAGGCCUCCAGGUAGGAGCGCUUGCAGGGCAGGUCCAGGUGCCGUGCGCUUUCUGCAGGAGAAGAAAGAGAGUUCAGGGAUGGGGUUGGGAUGGGACUUCAGUGUGGAGGAUUGUUCUGAUACACCACCACUGCUCUUUUUCAGAACAUUUCAGUUUGGAAAGAAAACGUGCAAUAGCAACAAGGCGUCGUGUUGCAAAUAUUGGAUUAAUCCCAUCAUCCUCCCAAGCAUGCUGAUGACAUUUAUCAGUGUAAGUGAGUGACUGUUCUCACAUCAGGGAUUACUUCACCUUCAUCCAGAUAACAGAGGUCCAUGGCACUCCUGCAGCACUACUCCUGACAAACUCAAGAAGUCUCUGAAAGGGUCUUAUCACAGCCUUCCUUCCUGUCAGUACCAAAAUCACUAUACAUUUCCCAGAUAUUUGUGUCAAAAGCUGCAGAAAUAUCUCAAGAUAAAGGAGACCUUUUCCAGCUGCCCAUCCUUCUCCUCAGUCUCACAUGCAGGAGCUCGUUAGCUGGUUGGAAUGCUGCAUUUAUGAACUCAUCUGCAAAUUAACAUCUGCUAGAAGGACACAUUUCCCUUACAGUCCUUAUUUCUGGUGGUAUUGGAUUCCUCAUUUGCCCACAAUCAGAGGAUUCUCACAGCUUAAAUAAAUUAGUGGCCAAUGAGACAUGCGAAAAGAAGGAUUUGGCUGCGUGAAUAAUUUUCCUUCUAACUUGAAACAUGCCAUGAUCUCAUCUGAUCUGGACUAAAAGGAAGAGAAUGCGGUUACAGCUCGCUUCAAGUUAGGACCAGCUGAUAAGGAGAAGGACACGUGGCCACCGCCACCCCACUGCUCUGCAUUGGGAUAACUAUGAUGGCUCCUCCUGCUAAGUGCUCAUCCAGUGCCGCUUCCUUAAUACUAAUGGCCAUGUUGGGACAUUUAAGGAUAGAUAAGGCCUUCACCAAACAAUUAUUAAUUCAUAUGACUUAUCAAGCGAUUAUUUUUCAGUGUGGCUUCAUUCCAUUUGAAUUAUGUGUACUGAUUGUUGUUCUUUUUUUUAAACUCAGGGUCUGAAUUUGCCUUCUAUGGGACAAAACCACUAACGACCACCCAAAAAUCCAGCUUGUGAGCCCUGACCCUCUGAAACACUUUGAUCACUUUGCAGAUUAAGGCCUAAGAGACACAUCCAAAACAAACUGGGAUUAUGGGAAUAUUUUUAUAUAUUCUGUAAAAAGAGUGUAAUUUCCAACCAAUAUGGGCCUGGCCGCAGCCUGCCAGAAAUAGCCACAUGAUGCACUCACUCACCCUUCCCCAGCUGGCCCAACGGAUGGACUGAGCUGCAUCUCAGAGGGGUCCUCACCACCACCAUAGAGGACCAAACCUCAAUGCUCUGCGCUCAUUCUGAUGCUGCACUGCUCAGCACUGUGUGCAAAACCAAAACAAGUGACUUUUCUGUCAGAGAGCCACCAUUGUGAGCAGCUCCAGCAACACCUCGUAGCAAGAGAUGAAGGGAAACCCAACAAGAAAGACAACAGCAAAGGAACGCAGAUCCCUGCAGCGAGCACCCUGCGGCCAUAAGGGCCAUCUCACAGGCACCCUCCGCUUUGUUGUUUACAUACUUGAAACCUCUGGAGAAAGAGGAAUUCCAUUCAUGGGCAUUUAUCACUGUGGAAGCACUUGUUGAGACUCGCUCAGUUUUUCCCCGUGUGCCCUGAGCUAACCCCUGACAGACACACCAACGUCCCGCGUCCCUUCCAGCAAGCGGUUGUUUUUGUGAUGUAACGAUGGCUCACACAGCUGAGGGCUCCAACAGCAUUUGGCAGGGCACAGCCUGCUUCCCCAGGGAGGAGUGAUGCUCAUCUUGUGCCUGGGAGCACAGCAGGCAGGAGGUGCCACCUUGUCUUCAUGUCCCCAUCACACAUCCCCAUGUCUUCAUGCUCCCACGUCCCUAUACUAUGUCCUUGUAUCCUUAUCCCCACAUCCCCAUCCCUGUCAGACAGUCACACUGACAGUCACCCAAAGCACACAUUGCUUAGCAAAACAUGAGCAUCAGGGUUUUGCUCAGAGCACUGGUGACUCAGUGCUCUCAUCAGCAUAAGAGCGACCUCUCCAAAGCCAAGCAUCUCACUGACUGCUGAUUUCUUAAUCCGUUCUCAACUCUGUUGCUCAGCCUGAUGUGAAAGGAACCUUUCAUGGUUGGAAAAUCUCCCACAAUCAGCAUGGAGCCUGCACCCCGCAGGCACUGCAUGAGGGCGCAUGUUCCCUCUGCUCCCACAGCUCCCCCAUGGGAGUCAGCAGGCAGAUCACAGUGCUCUGCACUUCAUUUCUUCUUGAAAAUUCAAUUUCUAUUCUAUUCUUCCCUGACGAACUGCACAGAGCUGUGCCAUUGCACAGCUGUCACAGCACCCGAGCAGGGCACGGCUCACUGAACAAGGACUGCUGCCCAUGGCCUGCAGUGCUGCCCCAGCGCAGCCUGGAGCUGUGGGUUUUGAGGUUUGGAGGAAAUCAAUGACAAAAGGAAACAGCCUGCCAGCAGCGCUGGAGAGCGAGAAGCAAACAAACCACGAGGCUUUCCGCACUUGUUUGCUUUAGGCUGCUUCAAGAGAGGGGCUGCGACGGCUGGGAUGGAUUCCUAGAAAGGAGAAGGAGUGAUUUGGCACAACACAGUGCCCUGUGCAGGAGUGGGACUGUGGUCUGCAGUAUUUCUUGCCCUGAACCUUCACAGGGAGUGGGUGCUGAGCCCAGGUUGUUCAAAAGCAAGUUGCUCAUUGAGCGGCCUCAAGAGGGUUUGUCGGAGAAGUGGCUGAACCCCACACAAAGGGAGCUCCAUCCGUGUCAUGGUACAGCUCCGUGGCAGGACAGAGCACUGACAGAAGGAGGAGGAAGGCUCUUCCCAACUCGAAAGCUGUGUUAAAAUUGCAGUUAAGUAAUGACACAGUUGGGAGAAGCAACCAUUUAGCAUUGCAAAAGCAACACCACACAUCCUGUUUGUUUUACGGUCACACCGAACAUCCUGUGUGUUUUAUGGUUUACAUUUUACAACAUAAACAGCAAUAUAUACUAAGCCACACUUCCAUGCAAAGGGAAAAUGCAAUAGGAUUGCAGGAGGGACACUGCACAGCGAGUGGCACAGGGCAGCUGUGCACACUUCAGCUCUGCCAUGAGGCUCUGCUUCCUCCUGCACAACCCCAUAGGGCUGUUCCCAUUUCACUGCCAUGAUGCUUUCACCCUUAAAGAUGAGUGAAGGAUUGGGGGUGGCUGUGAUUGAUAAUGUCAGCAUGGAGCCUUUGGGGUCAGCAAUCAGGGCAGGGGCAGGGCUGGCACGGCCGCUCUGCAGCAGCACCGGGACAUGUGUACAUGGCUUUGGGAGUGGGAAACUCACAGAAAACUGUGUGCACAGAGAACAUUCUGGACCCUAUUUCCCUCUCUCCACCCACUGAGGUUGGUUUGUUUCUAUGUGACUUUCAACUGGGACAGUAGAAGACAUCAGGUGUAUUGUUAAACACACUGGGGUAGAUAACUGCCCAUUUCUCACUACUGCAUUCACCAUAGACACUAAUUAAUAUAUUCCAAAUGAAAUACUCCAUCUUUUAUAGGACCACUAAAGCCAGCCUGGAGAAAAAAUGUCUUCAUGCAACUUGUUUCUGCAAGCUUCAGGGGCAACAGCUGGGCUUAAAACCCCACAAAAUCCCUGUGACCAUGCAACAGCCUAUUCUGCAUCCCUGCAUCUCACCCAGCACUGCAUCCAGCAUCCAUCCCUUCAUCCCACCCAGCAUGCUCAUUAUGGGCCCAACCCAAAGGAUUGCCCUCAAAGAACUUCUCUCUUACAUGCCCGAAGGGGUCCAGGUGGUUGUUGGUGAGCUUCAGCUUCUGGAAGGACACGAGCUGCCGCAUCCAGUGUGCUCCAGUGGCAGGUGAGUCAGGGUGCACGUACAGCCGGCCGGGCAUGGCUGGCUCUGCCUUCCCAGCCACCAUCCUGCAAGCACAGCAGUCAGAUUGCAGCACUGACAGCCCCACACAAAGCAUUACCAUCGACCUCCCCUUGCAAACCCCAGAGCAGCUGUGUCCUGGGGGCCAUACUGGGUGUCCAAGAGGCUCCCACUGCCCAUGGGAGCUCUUUGUCCAGUGUCACAGCUGGCAGAGCUGAGCCAUCAUCUCCUCGUGUCAUGGUGUUGACAUUCACCAAGGAGGACACCUUGUUUGGGUCUUUGGAGAAGGCUGGACACAGAUGGAGCCUUUCAAGGCCAUCCAGCAGAAGACACUUCUGCAGACAGCACUCAGUGUCAGCUCCUAUGGGACAGGGUUGGGUGCUGCCCUCUGCGCCCACAUCCCUCCUCUCCCACAUAUCCAGCCCAUCCACCAGCACUGACUGAUGUGAAACCUCACUGCGAUGCAUCGCUCCGUGGCAGCUCCCCCAUUACUGUGUAUUGUUCUUUUCUCAUAAAACACCAAUAAAAGCAUUAUGACCAAAAACAA